CUGGCACGAGCGUCCGGUUCAGGAGGUCACCAUUCCUCUGCUGAUCAUGGAUCACUCAGAGGAAAGUGAUUUUAAGCAUUUAUGGUUUAUAUUUAGAUAUAAUGUUAGCAUUCCCAGCAUGUGAAACAUUAGUCUAAGCGGUCUCUGGUGUUUGUUUUAAAGUAUAUUUGUGUAAAAGUAGCAUCGCCGUGUCUAUACGGGACGCAACAGCUUGAAGUGACAAAGCGGCCUGUAAAGAGCUCGGACUGUCAGAAAUAGAUCAGGAAUCCGUUUGCUGUUGGAGAUUUCGCAUUCAGUGUAGACACUAUCACUGAUUAUAAUCAACAGCUUCUACUGUCUUCAGUCGCGACGCGGCGCAGCUUUCAUAUGUGGACUUCUUAGAACUGAUCUGUGUUCAGGAGUUUGGUUUUCCUGAGUGCUGUAUCCUCCAGGUCAUCAUUCCUGUGGACAUAUGGGAAGGCUAAACUGGUCUGCAUCAUGCUAUUACUUUAGAGAGGCAAAGAAACGAGACGUAUGUUGUGACGGCACAAUUUGAACAAGGAAGUAGUGGACGACCAAAAGAAAUCGUUGGUGGUGAGUAUCUUGUCAGUUUGCUUGAAAUGAACUUAUCAGUCAGGUGUAUUGCAAGUCUUUUGGGGGAAUCUGAACGGACUGUACACAGACGACUGGCAGAGUUCGACCUAUCAGUGAGAUCACUGUACAGCUCACUAACAGACAAUGAGCUGGACAUAUUAGUGUCAAACAUUAAGUCCCGAAUGCCAAAUUCUGGAUACAGGAUGGUAAAGGGAGCUUUAAAAGCUGAAGGCCACAAGGUACAAUAUGAGCGAGUGAGGGCAUCGCUGCAUGGAGGAGACACACUAGGAGUUUUAUCCAGGAUGACCGAGCUGGGUUGUGUUGUCCGGAGGAGGGAUUCAGUCCCAGGACCUUGAUAAGGGUCAGAGGAGAACGUGGACAUUGCACGUUUAAUGUUCUCAGUUCGUGGCACAGGGAGAAGCAGUUUCAUUUCAGGAAAAAGUGUCCACAAUCAAAGAAUAGAAGGACUGUGGAGAGAUGUGUGGACUGCAGUGACCAGUGUGUACUAUGAUGUUCUACACUAUCUUGAGGAAGCCAACUACCUUCAUACUGCAGACCAAACACAUCUCUUCUGUUGCACUACACAUUCCUUCCAAGGCUACAAGAUGAUCUAAAUCUUUUCUGAGAUGGGUUGGAUAAUCACCCUUUACGAACAGAACACAACACGUCUCCAAACCAGCUCUGGGAAUUGGGUCAAAUUCAUUAUCCAGUUGAUGAUCCCCGAGAUGAAGAGGAACUGAACAUUGCUGAUAUUGAUUGGGAAAGCAGUGGAUUGACUCCUGAUGAAAGUGUUGGUGUUAAUGUUCUACUGUAGAAUGUCCUCUUACACCAGAGCAACUUGUGGCACUGAAGGACACAGUGGAUCCAAGAUCACAUCACAAUCCCACGGGGAUAGACAUUUACACGGCUGCAGUGCAGUUUUGCCAGUCACUUGAGUAAUGGAAACUGAUUUUUUCAAAACUGUUUCAUUAAUAAGUACAUAGCACUAUGGAGAGCUAAAUUGCUUCAAAACCUAUGUAGCUCUGUUGAAAACUAUUUCAUGGGGGCUUCCCCUUCUCAAAAAAUAAAACAGCAAUUCUACAUGA